UUCUCUUGUUAAGACCCUAUGAACAAUUAAACAAAACCUCAGAUUCAUACCAGAACCACAAUGAUUCAAAAAAACCUUUAAUGUCCAAAAAUUCCCUGAGUAAGAACUGCUGGAUUAUCACUUAUUCAAGAAAUAGAUAGGAUAGAAUGAAAAAGAAAUCAAAAGACAUUUUUUUGCUUUGAUAAAAAAAAAAGACAAACAGUGGCAAUUUUAUU
rnacentral:lncRNA from 1 species